GGUAGCUUAGGGGUAGAGUGCUUGCCUAGCAUGCAUGAAGUUCUGGGUUCGAUUCCUUGGUACCA
rnacentral:tRNA from 1 species